rnacentral:rRNA from 1 species
UAGGGAAUCUUCGGCAAUGGACGAAAGUCUGACCGAGCAACGCCGCGUGAGUGAAGAAGGUUUUCGGAUCGUAAAACUCUGUUGGUAGAGAAGAACGUUGGUGAGAGUGGAAAGCUCAUCAAGUGACGGUAACUACCCAGAAAGGGACGGCUAACUACGUGCCAGCAGCCGCGGUAAUACGUAGGUCCCGAGCGUUGUCCGGAUUUAUUGGGCGUAAAGCGAGCGCAGGUGGUUUAUUAAGUCUGGUGUAAAAGGCAGUGGCUCAACCAUUGUAUGCAUUGGAAACUGGUAGACUUGAGUGCAGGAGAGGAGAGUGGAAUUCCAUGUGUAGCGGUGAAAUGCGUAGAUAUAUGGAGGAACACCGGUGGCGAAAGCGGCUCUCUGGCCUGUAACUGACACUGAGGCUCGAAAGCGUGGGGAGCAAACAGGAUUAGAUACCCUGGUAGUCCACGCCGUAAACGAUGAGUGCUAGAUGUAGGGAGCUAUAAGUU